AUGGAGCGGGCGGAGGCGGAGGUGGGGAUGGCCGGCAACGGCGACGCCGUCCACACGCCCCACUCGGCGCCGCCGACGGCGCCGUCGGCGCGGGUGUCGAUUUGGGAGUCGGUGCGCGCGUGCGGGGUGUGGGGCCGGGACGUCGACAAGGCCGAGCUGCGGCGCCGCGUCGUCAUGCCGCUCUACGCGCGCCGCGCCGUGGCCGCCGCCGUCGCCGAGAAGGACGAGGCCGCCGGCGUGGCGGCCGCCGCGGCGGCGAGGGACGAGGGAGGGGAAGACGGGGAGGAAGGAUUGGAGGUGGUGACGCCGAUGGUCGUGUUCGUCAACUCCAAGAGCGGCGGGCGCCACGGGCCCGAGCUCAAGGUGCGCCUGCACGAGCUCAUCAGCAAGGAGCAGGUCUUCGAUCUUUCUUCUGUGAAGCCUUCUGAUUUUGUUCGCUAUGGUUUGGGUUGUUUGGAGAGGUUGGCUGAUCAAGGUGAUAACUGUGCAAAGGACAUCCGUGCAAAUUUGAGGAUUAUGGUUGCUGGAGGUGAUGGCACUGUUGGUUGGGUACUUGGAUGUCUCCAAGAACUUAAUAAGUUGAAAAGGGAACCAGUUCCCCCCACAGGAAUCAUUCCACUUGGGACAGGAAACGACCUUGCUAGAUCAUUUGGAUGGGGUGGCUCUUUUCCCUUUGGCUGGCGUUCAGCUGUAAAGCGAUAUCUCAACAAGGCAGUGUCUGCUUCGGUCGUCCAUCUUGACAGUUGGCAGGCUGUGAUUAGGAUGCCAGAGGGAGAAAUAACAGAGUUGCCACAUGCACUUAAGAAAGCGGAACCUGCCGAUCAGCUGGAGUUCAGCAAGGCAAGUGGCAGUGAGUUAACAGAAAAAGCUUCUUGCUAUAAAGGAGUAUUCUACAACUACCUUAGCAUUGGGAUGGAUGCCCAAGUUGCAUAUGGCUUCCACCAUCUACGAGAUGAAAAGCCAUAUCUUGCUCAAGGACCAGUUGCAAAUAAGUUGAUUUAUGCUGGAUAUAGCUGCACGCAGGGAUGGUUCUGUACUCCUUGUACAGCAAGUCCUCAGCUAAGGGGACUUCGGAACAUUUUGCGGCUUUACAUUAAAAGGGCAAAUUGUUCUGAAUGGGAGCAAAUUCAAAUGCCUUCAAGUGUUAGAUCACUAGUGGUCUUAAAUCUGUACAACUACGGCAGUGGAAGGCAUCCAUGGGGUGAUCUUAAACCAGAUUAUCUUGAAAAGAAAGGUUUUGUUGAAGCUCAUUCAGAUGACGGUUUGAUUGAAAUAUUUGGUCUGAAAGAAGGUUGGCAUGCUUCAUUCGUUAUGGCUGAGCUUAUCAAAGCAAAGCACAUUGCUCAGGCUGCAGCUAUCAAGUUUGAAAUGAGGGGAGGCGAGUGGGAUCGAGCAUAUGUUCAAAUGGAUGGCGAGCCAUGGAAACAACCACUCAUCCAGGACCAGUCGACAAUUCUGGAAAUAAACAAGGUUCCCUAUCACUCCCGGAUGAUAAACGGGGAUUCAUGA
rnacentral:rRNA from 1 species